ACUGGUUGAUCCUGCCAGUAGUUUUAUGCUUGUCUUAAAGAUUAAACCAUGCAUGUUUAAGUUCGUACCUUUGAAUGGUGAAACCGCGAAUGACUCAUUAAAUCAGUUAUAAUUUCAUGGGAUGUGUUUUGUUAAUUGGAUAACUGUGGUAAUUCUAGAGCUAAUACGUGCAUAUACGUUUAACUUCGGUUGGAUGUGCUUUUAUUAGUGCAAACCAUGUCGUAAGACUAUAGGUGGUUUUUCUGAAUAACUUUGCCGAGCAUUUCGGCCUUGUGUCGGUGCUAUUCCUUAAAAGUAUCUGCUCUAUCAACGGUCGAUGGUAUGUUAUAUGUUUACCAUGGUUGUAACGGGUAACGGGGAAUUAGGGUUCGAUUCCGAAGAGGGAGCCUGAGAAACUGCUACCACAUCUAAGGAAGGCAGCAGGCGCGCAAAUUACCUAAUCCCGGCUCAGGAAGGUGACAAAAGAAGUGACAAAAAGUAACAAUGCGGGUCUUAAAUGAGGCUUCGUAAUUGGAAUGAGUACAUUCUAAAUCCUUUAACGAGGAACUAUUGGAGGACAAGUCUGGUGCCAGCAGCCGCGGUAAUUCCAGCUCCAAUAGCGUGUAUUAAAAUGGUUGCGUCUAAAAAGCUCGUAGUUUGAAAACUUGCCUUGACUUGCAAUAGGUCCACAUGGGCCACCGUUUGUCGAGCGCAAAUAUGGAGGACUGUUUUUGCCGGCUUAAUUGUUUGGCUUCUAAGAGUUAUCAAAUAUAACUUUGAUUAAAUUAGAGUGCUUAAAGCAAGUUCAACUGUUUCAACUGUUUGUUUAUUGACAUUUCUUGUAGAUAAUUGCACACAUUAAUUUCAAGCUCC
rnacentral:rRNA from 1 species